rnacentral:rRNA from 1 species
UACGGAGGGUGCAAGCGUUAUCCGGAUUCACUGGGUUUAAAGGGUGGCGUAGGUGGGUUGGUAAGUCAGUGGUGAAAUCCCCGAGCUUAACUUGGGGAACCUGCCAUUGAUACUAUCAGUCUUGAAUACCGUGGAGGUUAGCGGAAUAUGUCAUGUAGCGGUGAAAUGCUUAGAAUAUGACAUAGAACACCAAUUGCGAAGGCAGCUGGGCUACACGAAUAUUGACACUGAGGCACGAAAGCGUGGGGAAGUCAAACAGGG